UACGUAGGGGGCAAGCGUUGUCCGGAAUGAUUGGGCGUAAAGGGCGCGUAGGCGGCCUGUUAAGUCUGGAGUGAAAGUCCUGCCUUCAAGGUGGGAAUUGCUUUGGAUACUGAUGGGCUUGAGUGCAGGAGAGGUUAGUGGAAUUCCCAGUGUAGCGGUGAAAUGCGUAGAGAUUGGGAGGAACACCAGUGGCGAAGGCGACUAACUGGACUGUAACUGACGCUGAGGCGCGAAAGUGUGGGGAGCAAACAGG
rnacentral:rRNA from 1 species